GACGAACGCUGGCGGCGUGCCUAAUACAUGCAAGUAGAACGCUGAAGGAAGGAGCUUGCUCUUUCCGGAUGAGUUGCGAACGGGUGAGUAACGCGUAGGUAACCUGCCUGGUAGCGGGGGAUAACUAUUGGAAACGAUAGCUAAUACCGCAUAACAGUAGAUAUCGCAUGAUAGCUGCUUGAAAGGUGCAAUUGCACCACUACCAGAUGGACCUGCGUUGUAUUAGCUAGUUGGUGAGGUAACGGCUCACCAAGGCAACGAUACAUAGCCGACCUGAGAGGGUGAUCGGCCACACUGGGACUGAGACACGGCCCAGGCUCCUACGGGAGGCAGCAGUAGGGAAUCUUCGGCAAUGGACGGAAGUCUGACCGAGCAACGCCGCGUGAGUGAAGAAGGUUUUCGGAUCGUAAAGCUCUGUUGUAAGAGAAGAACGAGUGUGAGAGUGGAAAGUUCACACUGUGACGGUAUCUUACCAGAAAGGGACGGCUAACUACGUGCCAGCAGCCGCGGUAAUACGUAGGUCCCGAGCGUUGUCCGGAUUUAUUGGGCGUAAAGCGAGCGCAGGCGGUUAGAUAAGUCUGAAGUUAAAGGCUGUGGCUUAACCAUAGUACGCUUUGGAAACUGUUUAACUUGAGUGCAAGAGGGGAGAGUGGAAUUCCAUGUGUAGCGGUGAAAUGCGUAGAUAUAUGGAGGAACACCGGUGGCGAAAGCGGCUCUCUGGCUUGUAACUGACGCUGAGGCUCGAAAGCGUGGGGAGCAAACAGG
rnacentral:rRNA from 1 species